AACCGGAUUAGAUACCCUGGUAGUCCACGCCGUAAACGAUGUCGACUUGGAGGCUGUUCCCCUGAGGAGUGGCUUCCGGAGCUAACGCGUUAAGUCGACCGCCUGGGGAGUACGGCCGCAAGGUUAAAACUCAAAUGAAUUGACGGGGGCCCGCACAAGCGGUGGAGCAUGUGGUUUAAUUCGAUGUAACGCGAAGAACCUUACCUGGCCUUGACAUCCAGAGAACUUAGCAGAGAUGCUUUGGUGCCUUCGGGAACUCUGAGACAGGUGCUGCAUGGCUGUCGUCAGCUCGUGUUGUGAAAUGUUGGGUUAAGUCCCGCAACGAGCGCAACCCUUAUCCUUUGUUGCCAGCGGGUGAUGCCGGGAACUCAAAGGAGACUGCCGGUGAUAAACCGGAGGAAGGUGGGGAUGACGUCAAGUCAUCAUGGCCCUUACGGCCAGGGCUACACACGUGCUACAAUGGCGCAUACAAAGAGAAGCGACCUCGCGAGAGCAAGCGGACCUCAUAAAGUGCGUCGUAGUCCGGAUCGGAGUCUGCAACUCGACUCCGUGAAGUCGGAAUCGCUAGUAAUCGUAGAUCAGAAUGCUACGGUGAAUACGUUCCCGGGCCUUGUACACACCGCCCGUCACACCAUGGGAGUGGGUUGCAAAAGAAGUAGGUAGCUUAACCUCCGGGAGGGCGCUUACCACUUUGUGAUUCAUGACUGGGGUGAAGUCGUAACAAGGUAACCGUAGGGGAACCUGCGGCUGGAUCACCUCCUU
rnacentral:rRNA from 1 species